rnacentral:rRNA from 1 species
UGCCAGACUCCUACGGGAGGCAGCAGUGGGGAAUAUUGCACAAUGGGGGAAACCCUGAUGCAGCGACGCCGCGUGAGUGAAGAAGUAUCUCGGUACGUAAAGCUCUAUCAGCAGGGAAGAAAAUGACGGUACCUGACUAAGAAGCCCCGGCUAACUACGUGCCAGCAGCCGCGGUAAUACGUAGGGGGCAAGCGUUAUCCGGAUUUACUGGGUGUAAAGGGAGCGUAGACGGCAGCACAAGUCUGGAGUGAAAUCCCGGGGCUUAACCCCGGAACUGCUUUGGAAACUGUGCGGCUGGAGUACAGGAGGGGCAGGCGGAAUCCCUGGUGUAGCGGUGAAAUGCGUAGAUAUCAGGAGGAACACCGGCGGCGAAGGCGGCCUGCUGGACUGAAACUGACGUUGAGGCUCGAAAGCGUGGGGAGCAAACAGGAUUAGAUACCCCCGUAG